AGAACGAACGCUGGCGGCAUGCCUAACACAUGCAAGUCGAACGUGAUCCAGGCUUCGGCCUGGUGAAAGUGGCAGACGGGUGAGUAACGCGUGGGAACCUGCCCUGUGGUAGGGAAUAACCGUGGGAAACUGCGGCUAAUACCCUAUGAGUCCUUCGGGAGAAAGAUUUAUCGCCAUAGGAGGGGCCCGCGUCGGAUUAGGUAGUUGGUGGGGUAACGGCCUACCAAGCCUUCGAUCCGUAGCUGGUCUGAGAGGAUGAUCAGCCACACUGGGACUGAGAUACGGCCCAGACUCCUACGGGAGGCAGCAGUGGGGAAUAUUGGACAAUGGGGGCAACCCUGAUCCAGCAAUGCCGCGUGGAUGAUGAAGGCCUUCGGGUUGUAAAGUCCUUUCGGCGGGGAAGAUGAUGACGGUACCCGCAGAAGAACGCCCCGGCUAACUUCGUGCCAGCAGCCGC
rnacentral:rRNA from 1 species